GUGCCAGCAGCCGCGGUAAGACGAACCGAGCGAACGUUGUUCGGAAUCACUGGGCUUAAAGGGCGCGUAGGCGGACCGUCAAGUCCGGGGUGAAAUCUUUCGGCUCAACCGGAAAAGUGCCUCGGAUACUGGCGGUCUCGAGCGAGGUAGGGGCAGGCGGAACUUCCGGUGGAGCGGUGAAAUGCGUUGAUAUCGGAAGGAACUCCGGUGGCGAAGGCGGCCUGCUGGACCUCUCCUGACGCUGAGGCGCGAAAGCUAGGGGAGCAAACGGGAUUAGAAACCCCCGUAGUCC
rnacentral:rRNA from 1 species